rnacentral:lncRNA from 1 species
GGCAUCCUUCACCACAUGUUGUUGGGGCUUUUCUGAAGUACUACGAAGAAGAGACGGAUAUGGAUGGUGUUGAUGAGUUGUGUAAGAUUCUGAAGGCUAAGAAUUUUGAUGAUUCCUGGAUUAAAACUUGCAUUAAUGAAGCCAAAGCGUCUCCUAAAACUGAUCCAAGAUUGAAGGAAGAUGAUUCUCAAAACUAUCGUGCGCAGGAGAACUAGACAUCAUGAAAAAGUAACUGUGUGCAGCUUGUAGGCGCUGUUUAUGAUGCAAGUGAUUUUGCAGUUAUCUUGGUUUUCAUAAGAUUAAGAACACUCUCCAGAAUCGUUUAGAAUUUAAUACUCCAUUAUCUGCAUAUGAACUCUCUCAUUCUCUACGAAACCUGUUAUAGAGAAGCAUGUGAGUACCAAAAAAAAAACAUGGAAAAGAAGAUGCUAAGUAGCUAAAUGAUAGGGGAAAAAUAAAGCAGAGAGGUACGAUUUAAAGUCAUGUACUUAAGGUGCUCUAGUAAAAUAAAAAUAAAAACAGUUCGACCCAACGAAUGAGAGGUUGUGUGAUUGAACUAUUCUGAACCAGCGAGAAAAAAUAGUGUGAAUCUGUUAGCUAAUAAUUUGAUCCAGUUACAUAUUAUUAACUAGAAUU